rnacentral:lncRNA from 1 species
UAACUUCAACUUUGAAAUCAUCCAUAAACUUUAUGUAAUUGCUAAACACGCCAUUCAAUUAAUACGCACACAAUCUCAAAUCUUUGUUUUCAUUCUGAUAUUUUCAUCCAACGCGGCGCGGCAGCCUGCUACUUCAACAGCAACACGGCUCUUGCCUCUGUACUUCUCUGUUUCUUGUCUAAAUUUUAUUUUUUUUUCUUUUUUCAUUUAUAAGAAAUUUUAAACUUUACAGAUCAAGAUCUCCUAACAUCCAACGUUAUUAUCCACAUUUGGAGACAUCGUGGGUCCCAUUCAUGUAUCUGUCAAAAGUUGGGAGAGACACAGCACACAAGCCCACAAUGCCCAAAUAAAAUCCUCAAGCGCAUGUAGAAUGGAAAAGGUGACUUCAGACAUAGAUUUUAUGUUUACUGUUUCAUAAUUAAGACAUAACUCUAUGCCCAUUAUCUUCGCAUUACUGUACCCACAAAGCUUUUAAAAAAAAAUCUCAUUUUUUAAUUUUGUCUUGCAUUGUACGGACACUCACUUUAUAUUUCUCUACUUCUCUGAAUUUCAAUCAUAUCAGCUUAGGCAUAAUCUAUGCUGACCUCUUCUGUAAUUUUUCGGAUUCAUUCAUUUUUUUGUGUAUGUAUGAAAAAAUGAUUAGAAAUAAAAAAAAAAUAUCAAUUUAGUUGAAACCCAGAAAAGAAAAUGGUGGGAUUUAUUUAGUUUAAAACAAAAAAUGUCAUAGGUUGCCUAAAUUGGAAAGUAUGAAUAAAAAAUGCUGUGUGAGAUGAUAAAAUUGUAGUUGAUGUAACUGGAGAGAGGUUGAAUUGCUUGCUAGUUGUAGAUGGAAUAAAAUAGACACUGCAGCCUGCAGAAUGGUCAAGAGGGCGAUGAUACAGAAUUCAUGCACUAGAACCUCAACGGCCCAUGAGGCAUCAGGCUUCGAUGCUUCAGCUUGAGUAGGUAGGUAUAGAUGGCGACUUCUUAAUUCUUUAAUUAAUUACAACUCUGUCAAAUUAUUAUAUAGUAAUUUGUAGAAUUAAUUAACUCUUAUGUAUUAAUUAAUUCCUAUUCCUAUUGCUACUGUUGAUGUAAUCUGAAUAUACCCAUGAGUUGAAUAUUUUAGAGAGCAAUUACAGUGCACUAUUUUAUUUACUUUCACUUGCAAGCCAACUACUGUUAUAUUUUCUAAUUAACGACCAAAUGUUAACAUUUAGGGACAAGAAUUUGAUUGAUAAUUCACUGCUUUUUUAUAGUGCCAGCUCUCAGCCAUUGUUAAAACCCAAGAGCCUGGUUCAUUCCUGGGUCAAACCGGAAGCAAUCCUCC